rnacentral:rRNA from 1 species
UAAGGAGGGUGCGAGCGUUAUCCGGAAUCACUGGGUUUAAAGGGUGCGUAGGCGGCUCGAUAAGUGAGUUGUGAAAGCCCCUUGCUUAACUAGGGAGGUGCGAUUGAUACUGUCGAGCUUGAAUCGGGAUUAGUCAGGGGGAAUGUGGCAUGUUGCGGUGAAAUGCAUAGAUAUGCCAUAGAACACCGAUUGCGAAGGCAGCCUGCUGGGGCUGUAUUGACGCUGAGGCAAGAAAGCGUGGGGAGCAAACAGG